UGGGGAAUUUUGGACAAUGGGCGAAAGCCUGAUCCAGCAAUGCCGCGUGUGUGAAGAAGGCCUUCGGGUUGUAAAGCACUUUUGUCCGGAAAGAAAUCCUUGGCUCUAAUACAGUCGGGGGAUGACGGUACCGGAAGAAUAAGCACCGGCUAACUACGUGCCAGCAGCCGCGGUAAUACGUAGGGUGCAAGCGUUAAUCGGAAUUACUGGGCGUAAAGCGUGCGCAGGCGGUUUGCUAAGACCGAUGUGAAAUCCCCGGGCUCAACCUGGGAACUGCAUUGGUGACUGGCAGGCUAGAGUAUGGCAGAGGGGGGUAGAAUUCCACGUGUAGCAGUGAAAUGCGUAGAGAUGUGGAGGAAUACCGAUGGCGAAGGCAGCCCCCUGGGCCAAUACUGACGCUCAUGCACGAAAGCGUGGGGAGCAAACGGGAUUAGAUACCCUGGUAGUCCACGCCCUAAACGAUGUCAACUAGUUGUUGGGGAUUCAUUUUCCUUAGNAACGUAGCUAACGCGUGAAGUUGACCGCCUGGGGGAGUACGGUCGCAAAAUUAAAAACUU
rnacentral:rRNA from 1 species